rnacentral:tRNA from 1 species
CAGGUGUGGUUCAAUGGUAGAACACCAGCCUUCCAAGCUGGAUACGUGGGUUCGAUUCCCAUCACCUG